CACGUAGGGUGCGAGCGUUGUCCGGAAUUAUUGGGCGUAAAGAGCUCGUAGGCGGUGUGUCGCGUCGGCCGUGAAAACCUGCAGCUUAACUGUGGGCUUGCGGUCGAUACGGGCAUCACUGGAGUUCGGCAGGGGAGAACGGAAUUCCUGGUGUAGCGGUGAAAUGCGCAGAUAUCAGGAGGAACACCGGUGGCGAAGGCGGGUCUCUGGGCCGAUACUGACGCUGAGGAGCGAAAGCGUGGGGAGCGAACAGG
rnacentral:rRNA from 1 species